rnacentral:rRNA from 1 species
GCUACGGAGAGUUUGAUCCUGGCUCAGGACGAACGCUGGCGGUGUGCUUCACACAUGCAAGUCGAACGAGGUAGCAAUACCUAGUGGCGGACGGGUGAGUAACGCGUGGGAAUCUGCCCAUGGGUGGGGGAUAACUAGCCGAAAGGUUAGCUAAUACCGCAUAUGCCGAGAGGUAAAAGGAGUAAUCCGCCUUUGGAUGAGCCCGCGUCCGAUUAGCUAGUUGGUAGGGUAAAGGCCUACCAAGGCUACGAUCGGUAGCUGGUCUGAGAGGAUGAUCAGCCACAAUGGGACUGAGACACGGCCCAUACUCCUACGGGAGGCAG